GUACAAUCAACACAGUUAUAUUCCUCGUGUGCGUUUUCAAACUGUCGUAGACCAUCUUUUACGAGACUAGAUUUUGAUACAUAGUCGUGGUAAACAAAAUACAUAGAAGGUAUUAGCUAAGGACGCUAACCCAACUUUAAAAAAAUAUCAAUGGUCGUAUGCCCCCCAUUGGGAUCUACUCUGGUGAUGCAGUCCAGAUGGCGAUUACUGCCGACUGCCGUGAAAAGGUUCCUUCGAUGGCUCCAAGUGAAGAUGUAUACAAUGAAACAUUGAUAAUCCGUUAACAAGACAGGAUGGAGAGUCUUGCUGACGUUACAAAGGUUGGGCAGGAGUUUCCACCACACUGAGAAAAAUUUUUACGUUUCUAAGAAAGUAUCAGCCCACAUCUCCUCUCAAUUUACCUUGCCUGACCUUGGCUGUGCAAAGGAUCUGCUCAUUUAGACAUAUUGUCAUACAAUUUUAUUCCAAUGUAAGUGACCAUGGUUGUUCACAAUAUUUUUACCUAUAAAAAUUCAAAUACAGGCUGAAA